AUUGAACGCUGGCGGCAUGCCUUACACAUGCAAGUCGAACGGCAGCACGGGAGCUUGCUCCUGGUGGCGAGUGGCGAACGGGUGAGUAAUACAUCGGAACGUACCCAGGAGUGGGGGAUAACGUAGCGAAAGUUUCGCUAAUACCGCAUAUUCUGUGAGCAGGAAAGCGGGGGAUCGCAAGACCUCGCGCUCUUGGAGCGGCCGAUGUCAGAUUAGCUAGUUGGUGAGGUAAAAGCUCACCAAGGCGACGAUCCGUAGCAGGUCUGAGAGGAUGAUGUGCCACAGUGGGACUGAGACACGGCCCAGACUCCUACGGGAGGCAGCAGUGGGGAAUUUUGGAAAAUGGGGGCAACCCUGAUCCAGCCAUGCCGCGUGAGUGAAGAAGGCCUUCGGGUUGUAAAGCUCUUUCGGCGGGGAAGAAAUGGCAACGGCUAAUAUCCGUUGUUGAUGACGGUAACCGCAUAAGAAGCACCGGCUAACUACGUGCCAGCCGCCGCGGUAAUAC
rnacentral:rRNA from 1 species